UCCGUAGGCGGAUAGAUAAGUCAGAGGUGAAAUCCUGCAGCUCAACUGUAGAAUUGCCUUUGAAACUGUUUAUCUUGAGUUAUUGUGAAGUGGUUAGAAUAUGUAGUGUAGCGGUGAAAUGCUUAGAGAUUACAUGGAAUACCGAUUGCGAAGGCAGAUCACUAACAAUAUACUGACGCUGAUGGACGAAAGCGUGGGGAGCGAACAGGAUUAGAUACCCUGGUAGUC
rnacentral:rRNA from 1 species